AACGAGCUAUUUGUGUAAUCCAUGGAUUGAAAUUGAACAGAGGAAAAAAUGAAAACAAUAGUAAAAACAAUUAGUACAGCUUUAAAUAUAAUCCGCCAUUUAGAGUUAAAUUUAGGUUCAGAUUUAGGUGUAGGUUCAAAUUUUGGAUUUAGUUUCAGGUUUCAAAUUUACUCGUCUUUUCCUGUUCAAUUAUCAUGGUUCGGUUCAAUUGAUUAACUCUGUUUAUUUUUAAUUUAAUCCUAUCAUGGAAAUAAUCUUUGAGUCUUUCUUGAUGACAGUUAAUUUGCCAAAAGUGAAACCAGAAAACAACAAUUAGGUUUGAAUAUGUUGACCAGGAAAAAUUAAUGAAACGUUAAAGUAGCCCAAAUAACCAGAUUAUAAUACUAUUAGACUGUGAUUAAUAUUGAUAAUUUUGCUUGAUUAAUAGUUCAACAUACAGAGUCAAAGGUGAUGUUAUUAGGAAAAUGAUUUAUGGUAUAAACUGUUUCAUGAAUUUGAUUCAAUAGCUGAUCUGCUAUAAAUAUAAACGUAUUUACCUUUGAUUAAUUUAAUUUUCUUCUUUUCUCUAUUUUUUCAUUUUUAGAUGGAUAAAUUGGUGCUCAUUUAAUGGCUCAAUCACAUUUUCAUUCAACCCUUUUCAUCAUUAAAACUGUAACAUUUAAUCACAAGGAGCAAAAAUCCUUUCAACACUUGAGCCAUUUGAUGAUUGUGACAACAAAUUGAAACCUGAAAAGACAAUAUAUAACAACCGUUAAGAUGAGCCGUGAAAAGGUUGAUCACUUGAACUUAAUCAACAAUUGAGAGUAUAAUUAAUCAAAGGAAAAAUGAACAUUCAUUGAAAUGACUAUCAAUUAUCAAGUAAAUCUGUUUAAAUCCUGGAAUCUCUUUACUUCGGAACAAUUGAAAUUCUGUCAACCUUAACCAAGUCAACAUUAAUAGUUAAAGCCUCAAAGGGAUAUGCAAAUCAACUUGAAUUAUUAAUAUAGUUAAAGUUCAACUACAAAGUAUUUUUUCUAAAUGGUUUCUCAUCACCUAAAUCACUGCCUAGUGUACAUUUGUUAAAUGUAUUAACUCUUAUUGGUUUAUAUUGGUUGUGCUUAUAUUACUGGGACCAAAACAUGAGAGAAGGUAUAUUAAGAUCCCCUUUAAUCAAAGAACUCGUAAAGAGUCCACACAAGAAUAGAACUCGUAAAGAGUCCAUAUAAUAAGAGAACUCUUGAAGAGUCAUAUCUGUAGAAAACUGAAGUUUUGACCUUGAGCCAUGCUUCAUAUGACCUUAAAAAACUAAAUCACUUACACAUCCUAAUUAGAUGUGAGGAGGUGAGCGAGUGGAAGAGGGAAUGCCUGAAUGACGAGGAAUUACAGAUACCGAAGGAGCUAAAAGAUUGGAACAUAAACCUAAUGGAAUCGAAACAACGGAAAGUAUCAAUCAAAUGGAUGAAAUAUAUUAUUACAAAAAUGGAAAAAGAAAGAAAAGACAACCGAUGGUCACCCUCAGAAAGCAUGGAAAUCUAAACCAGGAUUUAUAAUGUAAUGUACCUGUAAUUUCAUUGUAACAAUCAGUAAAUCAUUAUAAAAAUUUCUUUAAUGUAGAGCCAUAAGACUACACCAGGGGACAGUAACAGAUUAUAUAUCUGUAAAGCUGUUCAGUCAUUGUAUGGCUUGCUUGUAUUUCUAUACAUUCUAAAUAAAGGUCUUACUAAUAUGAA